rnacentral:rRNA from 1 species
AGAGUUUGAUUAUGGCUCAGGAUGAACGCUAGCGAUAGGCCUAACACAUGCAAGUCGAGGGGCAGCACAUGAAGUAGCAAUACGGAUGGUGGCGACCGGCGCACGGGUGAGUAACGCGUAUGCAACCUGCCUACAACAGGGGAAUAACCCGUUGAAAGACGGACUAAUACCCCAUAACACAGGGAUCCCGCAUGGGAAUAUUUGUUAAAGAUUUAUCGGUUGUAGAUGGGCAUGCGUUCCAUUAGCUUGUUGGUGAGGUAACGGCUCACCAAGGCAACGAUGGAUAGGGGAACUGAGAGGUUUAUCCCCCACACUGGUACUGAGACACGGACCAGACUCCUACGGGAGGCAGCAGUGAGGAAUAUUGGUCAAUGGACGCAAGUCUGAACCAGCCACGUCGCGUGAAGGAAGACGGCCCUACGGGUUGUAAACUUCUUUUGUAAGGGAAUAAAGUGUAGCACGUGUACUAUUUUGCAUGUACCUUACGAAUAAGGAUCGGCUAACUCCGUGCCAGCAGCCGCGGUAAUACGGAGGAUCCGAGCGUUAUCCGGAUUUAUUGGGUUUAAAGGGUGCGCAGGCGGGAGAUUAAGUCGGCGGUGAAAUUUUGCAGCUCAACUGUAAAAGUGCCUUCGAAACUGGUUUCCUUGAGUGUGGAUGAAGUAGGCGGAAUUUGUGGUGUAGCGGUGAAAUGCAUAGAUAUCACGAGGAACUCCGAUUGCGCAGGCAGCUUACUAAACCAUAACUGACGCUCAGGCACGAAAGGCGUGGGGAUCAAACAGGAUUAGAUACCCUGGUAGUC